rnacentral:lncRNA from 1 species
ACAGUCUUUCAGGAUGUCUGAAAGGGGCAAGUCUGUUUGUGUGGGGUAAGAAAUGCGGGGAGACAAACGGACAGUGGACAGAUUGCAGAGAGCUCUGUGUGCUGAGAGGAGGGUGCAGACCAGAUUUUUAAAUUGAGAAUGCAACAGUGAAGGAUUUCAAGCUUGGAGUGAGAGGGGAGACUACGAGCCUGCAGUGAUAAGGCAAAGCUGAAGAUUUCAGAGCCAAGGCCACACCCUACAGUUGCCAUGGAAUGGGGUGGCACAGUGGGCUUUGGAGGAAUCAAAGCUGGAGGAGCGGAAGAUAUACAGGGAGUCCACGGAGCCUCCCCUGCAAGCAUCAGUACAGAAGUCGAUGAUAAUCUGGAUGCAAGCCCAGGAGUGUGGAGUCCACUGACUCAGAAGACCUGCAUCUAAGGAAUUGGCUGUUCUUAUCCUUAAGAAUGAUGACUGUGUUUCCAAUUCCAGUAGACCCUUUGAUGCGUUCUGAAUAAAUAUUCCUUUUG